rnacentral:lncRNA from 1 species
CAAAACCGGCUGCACUUUGGGCAACAGGCUGCCCAUUUGCUCCUACACAACAUGCUGCAUAUGCGUCGCAUAGUCGAAAAAUUUUACACUGCAAACGGCAGCACACCCAAAACUUUCACCCUUUAUUAGCUACAGCGAAUGAUAAAGCUUCUAAAACGACUUCAAAUACCUGUACUUCAAAACGAAUUCUGCAUAUGCGUCGC